rnacentral:rRNA from 1 species
GAUGAACGCUGGCGGUAUGCUUAACACAUGCAAGUCGAACGGGGUUACCGGAUCUGCGAACUUCGGUUCAAAGAACUGACUAACCUAGUGGCGGACGGGUGAGUAACACGUGAGUAACCAACCUUAUACACUGGAAUAACACUGGGAAACCAGUGCUAAUACCGGAUAUUAUUAAAUCCAGGCAUCUGGACUUAAUGAAAGAUUUAUCGGUAUAAGACGGGCUCGCGUCUGAUUAGCUAGUUGGUAGGAUAACGGCCUACCAAGGCAACGAUCGGUAGCCGGACUGAGAGGUCGAACGGCCACAUUGGGACUGAGAACGGCCCAGACUCCUACGGGAGGCAGCAGUGGGGAAUAUUGGGCAAUGGACGAAAGUCUGACCCAGCAAUACCGCGUGAAGGAAGAAGGCCCUCGGGUUGUAAACUUCUUUAGGCAGGGAAGAAUAAAUGACAUUACCUGCAGAAUAAGCCACGGCUAACUACGUGCCAGCAGCCGCGGUAAUACGUAGGUGGCAAGCGUUAUCCGGAAUUACUGGGUGUAAAGGGCGCGUAGGCGGGUACGCAAGUUAGAUGUGAAAACCCGGGGCUCAACUCCGGACCUGCAUCUAAAACUGUGUAUCUUGAGUGUCAGAGGGGAAAGUGGAAUUCCUAGUGGAGCGGUAAAAUGCGUAGAGAUUAGGAGGAACACCGGUGGCGAAGGCGACUUUCUGGCUGACAACUGACGCUGAGGCGCGAAAGCGUGGGUAGCGAACAGGAUUAGAUACCCUGGUAGUCCACGCCGUAAACGCUGAUUACUAGGUGUAGGGGGUAUCGACUCCCUCUGUGCCGCAGUUAACGCAUUAAGUAAUCCACCUGGGGAGUACGGCCGCAAGGUUAAAACUCAAAGGAAUUGACGGGGGCCCGCACAAGCAGUGGAGUAUGUGGUUUAAUUCGAAGCAACGCGAAGAACCUUACCAGGGCUUGACAUCCUCGGACGACACUAGAGAUAGUGUUUUCUCUUCGGAGACUGAGAGACAGGUGGUGCAUGGUUGUCGUCAGCUCGUGUCGUGAGAUGUUCGGUUAAGUCCGGCAACGAGCGCAACCCUUAUUGUUAGUUGCCAUCAUUUGGUUGGGCACUCUAACGAGACUGCCGUUGACAAAACGGAGGAAGGUGGGGACGACGUCAAAUCAUCAUGCCCCUUAUGUCCUGGGCUACACACGUACUACAAUGGUAACAACAGCGAGCAGCGAAGCCGCGAGGUGGAGCGAAUCUUCAAAUGUUAUCUCAGCUCAGAUUGCAGGCUGCAACUCGCCUGCAUGAAGCAGGAAUUGCUAGUAAUGGCGGGUCAGCAUACUGCCGUGAAUACGUUCCCGGGCCU